UACGUAGGGUGCAAGCGUUAAUCGGAAUUACUGGGCGUAAAGCGUGCGCAGGCGGUUAUGUAAGACAGGUGUGAAAUCCCCGGGCUUAACCUGGGAACUGCAUUUGUGACUGCAUAGCUAGAGUACGGUAGAGGGGGGAUGGAAUUCCGCGUGUAGCAGUGAAAUUCGUAGAUAUCGGGAGGAACACCAGUGGCGAAGGCGGCGACCUGGGCCAAUAUUGACGCUGAGGUGCGAAAGCGUGGGGAGCAAACAGGG
rnacentral:rRNA from 1 species